AGUGCUCCAGCCUCCUUGCGGAGCAGCUCACCCAACAGCCGAGACAGCCACAAGGCUUGAGUGGGGGCAGCGACAUACUCUGCUUCACAGCUGGACACUAAAAAACUCGGCCGGGGAGGGAAAGAUCGCCCUCCCGGUAUUAUAUUAAGAAGAGACCGAAACAAUGGUCCCGGCCGAGAAAAUCCCCGAACCCUGGCCCCCCAUCACUAACGGACACCACCACCACAUGUUGCUUGACCAAUUGCCAACUAAUCAAGCAAUUUCUGAGCAAGACCAACAUGCCACUAGUGUUGUUGCUCGUUUCGAUGUUGCUAGCAAGAUCGCUACCGUUGUAGCCAACAAAGUGCGUUGGACCAAGACAAUGAGCGUAAGUGCAGGCCGUAGCUAAGAAGCCAUGUUCCCAAAAUGAUGGGAUCGAGGAACGGGAACACGGAAUGAGGAACGUUAUUUUUAGAACCAUGGUAUGAAAGGGGUACAUCUCGUCCUACUGUUUUUUUACCAGUGGAAUUUGAACGAUGCCAUUUUAGAACGAUAAUGCGAAACAAUAAUACCGGAACAAUUUUUUCAGUUAAAAUGAGUUUGACUUUGAAAAACAAAAAAGAUAAGUGGUGCUAAAAGUGGUCCAAAAUGUUAAAAUACUUCAAACCCAACUUAAUUCUGCAUAUUAAUAAACCUAUAUAGAAUAGCAAACUGUUUUAAGUUAGUCAUGUUUAUUUGCUUUAGUUGUGUUGGCAUCAAUCAUCAAAAAGGGGGAGAUUGAAAGGAAAAUGUGUCUUGUGUCAUUUCUAUAAAUGUUUUGGUGGUUAAUGUCCAACACAACAAAUGUGGACUAACAUGUUUGCUAAAUGUGCAUAUGCAGGAAUUUAACUCAGGUAAACAGAAGUUAAGUUGGAGAAUCAAAAUAAAUUAAGUUUCAUGACAUAGACAUGGUUGGAUUGUCACUACGAAUAUUUGUCUUAAGUCAUGGGAGCAAAUUUGGAAAAGAACAAAUUGAUUUGGAGAAGAAAAUCUGAAAAAAGAACAAGGUGCAACUGUUUGGGGUGCACCAAACCACAUUACUAGAGGCGCCAGAAAGAACUAUGUGGCCUGGUGCACCGGACCACUUUACCAGAGAGGGAUGAAGAAGACGCCAGAGGACUCCGGCACACCGGCCCAGUCCGAUGUGCACCAGAUCACUAGGGUCCAACGGUUAUCUCAGGCUCCAACGAGUGUCGCAACGGCUCGCAACGGCUAGCUGACGUGGCACGAGGUCCGAUGGUGCGCCGGAUCAAUCUGGUGCCAGCGUCCAAAGGAAGGCGCUAGUUAGGAUCCCAGGAUUGGGCUACAGGACUCGGUCCAGUGAUGCACCGGACCGGUCGGUUGUGCCCUAUGGAUGUUUUUUCCAAUGACCCCUCAAAGCACCAAUUCACUCAAGAGCACAUGCUUUCAUUCCAAGCAUUAGAGAAGCACACCAAAGUGAUCCAAGCGCUCGGACUUGAGAGAGAGAGAGAGAGCUCUGCUUCAGUUUUGCGCUUGUAUUCUUCGAUCUUUUGGUGUUGUGAUUGUGCUCUUGUGUGUGUUUCUUCCUCCUUUUUGCUUCUAUUUGAGUUGUUGCUCUCAUUCAUUGUGUACGGAUAGCAAGAGACUCUGAUCUGUGGAGAUCCUUGUGAUGAGAAAAGUAUAAGAGAAAUUUGUGGCCUCAAGUUUGAUCUUUGAAUCACUUGAGAAAGGUUAAGUGCAACCCUUGUCCUUUGGGACACCAUAACGGGGACGUAAGCUCUUCAGAGUUGAACCUCGGUUAAACAAAUCGUCAUGUCUUGUGUGAUUUACCUUUCUGCAAUUUGUUCUUCAUUUUCACUUGCUCUAAGUUCUUGAUCCUCACUUGUGAUAUUGCCCUUGAAUUAAUUCUGCAAUCAAGUUGGGCAUCAAGUGCAAGAACUUCUCUCUUUUCUAACUUUCUUGGAUCUAGAUUUUGAGCUAAUCACUAAUUUUGGAUCAAAGUUUGUUUUGAGUUGUGAAAUUUUAGGAGCUGCCUAUCCGGCUAUCCCCCCUCUAGGCAACUAUCACCAUCCAUCUCCGUAAUUUGACAGCCGCCACCCACCAAGCGCCCAAGUCACGACAGUUAUGGGCUGCCAUUCGCACCGAGCCACCAAAUGACCAUCUCCCUAGUCCCCACUCCCCAGCCACGAUAGCUACUUCAUAUCGCCCCAUCCUUCACUGUUGUGUGCCACCAGCGACACGAAUUUGGUGGCGACACGCGACGAUGUCAACCCCCGAUUGAGGAUACGCGACGACACCAACAUCAGUGGCUCUGCGUCCGCUGUCCGCAUUGUCACCGACGUCUAGUCGUGCCACCGUGGACACAUCUAUUGGCAUGUCUGGUUCAUCUUUUUCCGACGAGCUUUUCUGAAAAUCUGGUUAUGGGAGGAAUCUAAGUAUCGUGAGGAUUACAUAUAGAGGAAGAUGAAGGGGUCCAUAGGGUUUAGGAUCUAGAAAGUGACAGAUUUCUACUAUCGCGACGACUCGGACGAUUGUGUUCACAUUGAUUUUGGACGAUUUUCACCAAAGUGGUUCUAACAAAAGCAGGUUGAAAAGUUGUGUUUGCCGGUCCGUGGCAGCUUCUAGUUGCUAGAAGCUAGAAAUAAGCUGAAACAAACACACACUAUGCUAGCCGGAGCGCUUAGCGUGCGACCGGUGCUAGGUGUCGUCCACGUCCCAAGAGCCAUAGGUGCAACGUCCCAAUCAGCGACCGACAGUGCGGCUGGACGACAUUCUUGUGGCUGCCAAGUCAAAAGAUCAAGUCGAUGUUUCACCAUUCGAUUGGUACGUCGUUCCAUCUUGUUCAUGUUCCUCUUUCAGAACAAGGAAUGAUGUUCCUAGUUUCUUAGGCAAGGACCAACAACGAAAGGAGAAAUUUUGAAUGUUCCCCCUCUUCUAUUUUUGGUCGCAGCUCCAAGCUUCCAUGGGCUAGGAACAAGGUAGGCUCCUCUUCCUCGUCCUAGUCCAUGUGGAUCGCACCACUUGAAAGUGCAUCUAUUCGUUUAGUGUGUUUUGGUGAAUUAAAUGACAACACAAUUAAAUGUUUAAUAAGUUUUCUAAGUGCUAAAUAAGAAGUUGAGUAGAUUUUAUACACUUAAAGAGAAGUGUAUCAAAGGUUCAACAAGAAAGCAAACUUGAUGGUAUUCCACAUUAUGUUCAUGUGAAGGCCAAAGUUGUAUAUUAUUACGCUAAAAGAUUAUAGAAACAAUCUAGUUGAAGCAAAAGACAACAAUGCAAAUGGAGUUUAUGAAUGACUUCUAUGUUGUGGGAUAUCAUAGCAUCAUAUGAAAGCAAGUAUGUUUGGCAAAUGGCAAAUGAGCCAUGAGUUGAUGCUUUAGGAUUGGUCUCAAUAAUGGCUUGCUUUGCAUGGAUAAGAAGAAAUUGUUAGUUGUCUUGUAUUAAUCAUGUUGGAAGCACGAACAUGAAAUCUAUCAAGAGUAACGGUAGUAUGAAAUAAUAGCAAUCCAAGACACGAAAGUAUAAAGAGACAGUCUUAUGCAUAUCUAGUCUCAUGUUUGGAAUUGAGCUUACAUCAUGAAGAUGGACAUUGAGAUGAAUACUAAAAGCGUCAAAGCCAAAACGAAGAGGAUAUAAGGAAUCGUGAAUUAGCUUGACCAUAUUGAUGUUGAUUCAUAUAUGUCAAUCUAUGUGAAUCAAAUUAAAGCUUGAUUUAUCUCAACACUCCUCUCAAGAAGAUAUUCAAGGAUCAUAGUAUUUUUUCUUGAAUACACAGGAGAGCUGCGUAUCUUUGUAUUAAUAGGAGAAGAAAAAAAGGCACAUGGCCAGAACUGUACAAAAGAAAGACCAACACACACCACCGCAAACACACACACACACACCAAGGAUACUAGGCCUGCACACACUCCAGGCCACCAGCACACCGCACAUGCACACAAGCGGUGCAGAAGAAGAGAGGUCCUCAAAUCUAACCAAGAUCAAACAUGGCUCUUAAGUUUUUAGCACCUGCCAAGCGCCAUAGAUGCAACUCAUCCCUAAAUCCCUCUUCCAGAGAAGAAAGGCUAGGAUGCUUCCCCGCAAAAACACACUUGUUUCUAUGCUUCAAAAUGUUCCAGGCUCCAAGAAUGAUAAUAUUAUUGAACCCCUUUCUCUUGCUUUUAGGGACCCUGUGAGAAGCUUUCCUCCACCAGUCCAUCAAACAAGUAUCCCUUCUCUUAGGACUGAUAUUAUUAAGACAAAAAGAGGAUAAUAUAUCUUGCCGGAACUGCCUUGCAAACACACAAUUGGUCAAAUAUGCUGGACAGUUUCUUCCUCUUGAUCACAUAAGGCACAACUCUGAGGAUGAUCCAACCCCCUUUUCUUCAGCCUGUCUGCGGUCCAACAUUUAUUUUUAACAGCUAGCCAUACAGAGAUUUUGCAUUUGGGGGCUUACCUGGUUUCCAAAUUCUUUUCCAUGGUUCAAAAACAAUAGCAACUCUAAAGAAAGCUCUGUAGGCCGACUUGGAACUGAAGGUUCCAUUGCUAGAGAAUCUCCAAACAUGUUUAUCAUUGGUAUUCUCUAGAUGGAAAUUUUCAAUGACAUCCCACAACUGAAGGUAUUGUUCAAUACCAGCCAGGGAAAGAUUUGCCUCAAUGUCUUGGACCCAUGAAAAGGAAGGAAGAACUUGUUGAACAGUCCUUGUUUUUUUUUGGGGACAGCAGCCACAAUACUUGGAGCUAUGUCCACAAUAGAAGUCCCAUGAAUCCAUUUAUCUGACCAAAAAUAAAUUGUGGCUCCAUUACCAAUAUAGGUAAUAAGAGCAAUCUGAAAUAAGGCUCUAGCUUGGGAGGAGAUAUUAAGGUUAAGACCAUUACAAGGCUUAUCAGGAUUUAUUUUCUGAAGCCAUAACCAUCUCAUUUGAAGGGCCCAGCUCAUAAUGCGGAGGUUUGGGAUUCCAAGGCCUCCCAACUCAAUAGGUCUAGUUACCUUCUCCUAGGCUAUAAGGCAGUUACCUCCUCAAGGCUCUUUUCUCCGAUUCCAUAGAAAGUUUCUCCUGAUUUUAUCAAUUGCCGUAAUAACCCACUUUGGGACAUCGAGAGUGAUAAGCAGGUAGACUAGAAUCGCAGAUAGCACAGGUUUGAUUAAGGUUAUUCUCCCUGACAGAUUUAAUAGGUUAGCUUUCCAUCUUGGUCGCCUGUCUGCAAUCUUCUGUAUCCAAGGAAUAAGAUCACCAGAAAUAAGCCUUUUGUUACUCAAGGGGAGCCCAAGAUAAGUUGUAGGGAAACCUUUUGAGGCACCCCCUAAAGUCUGCACAGCCAACUCCUUCAUCUCCUCACCGAAUAGGGUAGAAGAAACUUUUUUCCAUAUUUGUUUGAAGACUAGAGAGAACUCCAAAACACCUCAGAAUUUGCUUGGCACUUUCCAUUUCCUCAAAAACCGGCUUGACAAAGAAAGCCACAUCAUCGGCAAAAAAAAUAGAUCCUUUGGUUAACAGAUCUACCCGCUAAAGAAUGCAACAGCCACACUGAUCAGCUUUAGAAAAGAGGCUAUUAAGGUGCCGUUUGGUUCAGCUUCUGGGCGGAUUCUGGCCGCCAGAAGCUGAAGCGGCUACCAAACGCGCAACUUCUCCUCCCGCUUAUCCGCGACGCGCUUCGAUGAGAAGCCACCCGCCUACGCGACGCCAGAAGCGGGUCUGAGGACGCUUCCGCGGAAAGCCACCCUCAUUUCGCUAGGGUUCGCAAGCGCGCCCGUCACGCGUCCCCGUCGCAACUCGCCGCCGCAGCUCUCCUCCCCAUCGCAUCUCCCGCAACCGCCCUCAUUCGCGACGCCCGCGGCGGCCGUCUCGUCCCCCAUCGCAUCUCCCGCCGCCGCGCUCGUCGUCUUCGCAGGUAAGCUUUCUUCCUCUCAUCCAUGGCGAACCUGACUUCUUGCUCCUCCGCCGUGUCGGUGAUUCGAUGCAUUCGUGACCCUUCCGUUCUCUAGGGGUGUGACCGCGGCUCCGCAACUCCUUCGACAAAUCCCACAGGCAUCUUCAAGCUGCGACUCGUCCCGCCAUCGCAUCUCCUCGUCUUCCCAGGUACCAUCUUCCUCUCCUCCAUCCCGCCCCUCUCUUCAAUCUCCUCCGCCGACGCCCUCGUUUGGAUAUCUCUCGUAUCUAGCUGUUACGUAUCCAAUCGUCCCCCAUGUACUGAUUAGGGUAUAGGUUGCAUCCACGUCCGUGGUUAAGAGUUUAUCCCCCCUGUAUUGACUCCUAGCAAGUGUGAUUUGCUGUAUGAAGAGAUGCUUCAACUUCAGUUUGUUCAUAGUUAAACUCCUAGCAGUUUAACGAUUUCUGGUCACCAUUUAGGACAAACCAUUGAAGUGUGUUUUGCACUGUUAUUUAUUUCUUUGUUACUUGAAACAUAGUUUUGUUUGUUAGCAGCCGAGGUAAUAAAUCGUUUCAAUUACUGGAUUUAAGUACAUUGUCCCCAUGUCCAGUUUAUUCACUACUUUUGUUUGGAGCGACGUACUAACGUUUUUGUUGUCUAAUGUACACUUCAGAAUUUCCCCACCAACUCGGGUUCUUCCUCUCCUGGUUCCAACAACCACUGCAGGCAAGGUAAUGUCAAUAUGUACUUGUUGGUUAAUUAACUGUGAUCAUAGAAGAGGUGUUACCAAAUUAAGUUCUCGGUGAACGGGAUACCAUUGAUCUGUUUAAGCCCUAUUAUUUGAAGAGGGUUUAUUUCAAAGUUUGUCUAUGUCAGUACCUCAAUGUUAGUUUCUUCAACUUCAGUUUGUUCAUGUUAGCACCCAUUUCAUGUCAAUACAUGGAAGUUAGUACAUUGUCCCCUUGUCUAGUACACUAACCACCUAAAUCCACAUCAGAUGGAUUCCGCAGACUCCAUAGCCGACAAGGCAAUCGGAAGGAUGCAAGAGAUUGCGGACAAGAUAUUUGUCGUAGCUCGGGAAACAAUCCGUCCAGGACGCGGGUUGACCUCAUUUGACGCUACCAAACUUCGUGUAGCAUUGGAGGACAUAGCUUGCAUGCUUGAGCAAGACUCUCUGGUGUUGCAAGAGAAUUUGGACAACGUUAACAACCCGAGUGACAGCAGCUACGGACCGUCAGCCUUGUCCUCACCACCCCCAGCUGACGACUACCUUAGUCCAGAUUGGGACUUUGCGGAGCACUUCGAACACUUCUGGGGUCUAGAAUAUGACUCAGACCAGAUGCCUUCGUUUAGUGACAAUGAGGUUUAAGUUAGACCAUGGUGAACCUUGGACUCAGGUGUUAGGGUAACAGGGAUAGAUCAGCCUUUUGCUUAAUGCGCAGGUCUAUAGUAAUCCCUGUGUUGUUCUGUCCACCAGGACUUUAAUUUGUUAAGUCUAUAUAUGUAAUUAUGACAAAACCCAAUGGCACUCCUUAUGGUACUACCUUAUGUUAUUAUGGUCCCUUACCAGUUCAUUGUGUUUUCUUAUUAAGUGCACUUCAAUACGUAUUUUCAAUCGUCUACACUUGUUUUACACUAGAUGGACAAGUCUGGCAAAGUGAUUGCAAAGUGGGAUAGCAGAGCCACAAAAAUUUAUACAGAAAUUUGUGUAGAAGAGGUCAAUGCACGGAACAGGCCACAACAAUUUCUAAAUGCCGAAGGGUAUGCUAACCUCAUAAGGAAGUUUAAGGAACGCACUGGUCGCACUUACACCAGGGAUCAAAUGAAGAAUAGGUGGGACUCCUUAAAGAGAAUGUUCACCCAGUGGAAAACUCUUAAUGAAAGGGCUACAGGACUUGGUCGCGACCCUCAUACUGGUUCAAUCAGUGCUCCAGAUGAGUGGUGGGCUAAGCAAAAUGAAGUAAGUAGACUUUUUUAAUUUUUUUAGAUUAACAAUAGUAAUGGCCAUCUCAAAGUAGGAAAUACCAUGUUGCUGCAGGCAAUGCCAGGGUGUAUUAUGUUCAAAACUGCCCCCCUAGAGAAUGAGGACGAGCUAAAGGUUAUGUUUGGACCCAUUGUCUGCGCAAAUCAAACAACCCUAGUUCCUGGCGUCGAGGAUGCAAAUUCAUCAUCUGAUGAUCAUGUCGAUGCCACUUUAGGUGGGGGUGAAAACAGCACACCUGACCCAUGCUCAAAUGCGACUGGGAAGCGUAAGGUGCGUCAUGAUUCUCCAAAACCAAAGAAGAAAAAAGAUACGAGGGAAGAGUACAUGAAACGCCUAGUCGAGGCUUUUGAGUCGCGUUCAAUGACCACUAACAAGUCCAUCACCUCUGCUGAGACCGACCCUGUCCGUGUUGAGGUUAAUGCGCAGUUGCAACAAGUGAUCGAUGAUGGUGCAGCUGAAGGCAGCGACCUACAUUUGUUUGCCACUCAUCUGUUGAUUGAGAAAAAGUUUAGAGAUGUAUUUGCAACACUGAAGACCAAAGAAGGAAGGAACGCUUGGCUGCGCAGUGCUUUCGAGAUACAUGUUAAAAAGUCGAUUUAGUGGUGGUCGUCCGACAACAGAGGGUCAUGUUCGCUAUUAUGUUGUUGUUCUUGUUAGUCGUCUCACUGUUAUCAGUCUUGUCGUGUUACAAAAUAAACAUGCCGUACGCAUAAUUUUCCCUUUUGAACAAUUUUGCAAUUAUUCGAGUUGAACAUGUAUUUGAAUAAUCAGAGUUGUAUGUUUCUGAACAAGUCAAUCUGUGAACUUUGUGUCACCUAUGGUACAUGAAUGUGUCUUAUAUACUGUGCCUAUACAUGAAUAUGUGCCUGCUGUUUGUGUGCAUGCAGAUGGGUGACCCUGCUGCACACACAUAUGAUCAUAACACGGACGACGGAGAUGCGGAAUUUCUUGUUGCCCUAUAUGCUGUAGACAUGUGGGGCAGGCCUUCCAGUGAGGUUUCUAGAAGAACAAUGGUUGAAACAGGUAUUCAAUGGGUUGAGCGAACUUUGGAGAAUAGUAACGAUUGCUUUGACAUGUUUCACAUGCGACGUACUGUUUUUAGACGAUUGCAUGAUACUUUGGUCGAAAGUUAUGGUCUUCUUCCAAGCCGUGGUGUCAGUACUAUGGAAGCUCUAGGUAUUUUCUUGUGGGCAUGUGGGGGUCCACAAUCAUUUAGGCAGAUAAGGAAUAAGUUUGGUCACUCAUUGGAAACUAUUAGUCGCAAGUAUAGUGAAGUACUUAAUGCACUACAUAAGAUGUGAGCUGACGUAAUCAAGCCCAAAGACUCAAAUUUCAUAGAGAUUCAUCCUCGUUUGCGAGAGGGGAGAUUUUGACCCCACUUCAAGGAUUGCAUAGGAGCAAUUGAUGGUACUCACUUUCCAGCGUCUGUACCGGCCUCGGAGCAACCCAAAUAUAUUGGUCGCCACGGUUAUGCAUCACAGAAUGUAAUGGCCGUUUGUGACUUCGAUAUGAGGUUCACAUUUGUUGUCACAGGUUGGCCAGGUUCAGUACAUGACACUAGAGUAUUACAAGAUACUUUGAUAACUUAUGCGGACAGGUUCCCCCAUCCACCUGAAGGUAAAUACUAUCUUGUGGAUUCAGGUUAUCCAAAUAGAAAGGGGUACCUUGCACCUUAUAAGGGUCAGAAGUAUCACAUUGCAGAAUGGCAAAAUGCGAGGCAACCUAUUGGGAGCAAAGAAGUAUUCAACUAUGCACACUCGUCGCUACGCAAUGUUAUAGAGCGAUCUUUUGGUGUGCUUAAAAUGAAGUGGAGAAUUCUGUUAAGUCUCCCUUCAUUUUCGCUUAAGAAACAAUCCAAGAUAAUUAUUGCAUGUAUGACAUUGCAUAACUUCAUUAGAGACAGUGCUCUACACGAUAGAGACUUUGAUGAACUAGGACCUAAUAGCCUUGGUCAUGAAGUAUCUGUAGGUGAGAGUAGUUCUAGCACAUCUGAUGAGUUAGACAUGAGUGCAUUUCGAGAUGCAAUUGCUAAUGCAUUAGUGUCGUAGUUAAAUAUGUAAAUUUAACGGUAGUUAUGUUGUAAUGAACUCCACUAAUUAUAUGUAAUGACCUUUUGUUGGUUCGGUGUUAA